UACGUAGGGUGCGAGCGUUAAUCGGAAUUACUGGGCGUAAAGCGUGCGCAGGCGGUUCGUUGCGUCGGUGGUGAAAGCCCCGGGCUCAACCUGGGAAUGGCCAUGGAAACUGGCGAACUGGAGUGUGGCAGAGGGGGGUGGAAUUCCGCGUGUAGCAGUGAAAUGCGUAGAGAUGCGGAGGAACACCGAUGGCGAAGGCAGCCCCCUGGGCUAGCACUGACGCUCAGGCACGAAAGCGUGGGGAGCAAACAGG
rnacentral:rRNA from 1 species